rnacentral:rRNA from 1 species
CGUGAAGGAUGAAAGGCCUUCUGGGUUGUAAACUUCUUUUACCUGGGAAAGAAACCCCGAUUUUCUAAUCGGGUUGACGGUACCAGAGGAAUAAGCACCGGCUAACUCCGUGC